GACGAACGCUGGCGGCGUGCCUAACACAUGCAAGUCGAACGGAAAGGCCCUGCUUUUGUGGGGUGCUCGAGUGGCGAACGGGUGAGUAACACGUGAGUAACCUGCCCUUGACUUUGGGAUAUCUUCAGGAAACUGGGGCUAAUACCGGAUAGGAGCUCCUGCUGCAUGGUGGGGGUUGGUAAGUUUCGGCGGUUGGGGAUGGACUCGCGGCUUAUCAGCUUGAUGGUGGGGUAGUGGCUUACCAAGGCUUUGACGGGUAGCCGGCCUGAGAGGGUGACCGGCCACAUUGGGACUGGAAUGCGGCCCAGACUCCAACGGGAGGCAGCAGUGGGGAAUAUUACACAAUGGGCGGAAGCCUGAUGCAACAACGCCGCGUGCGGGAUGACGGCCUUCGGGUUGUAAACCGCUUUCGCCUGAGACGAAGCGUGAGUGACGGUAAUGGGUGAGGAAGCACCGGCUAACUACGUG
rnacentral:rRNA from 1 species